AGCCCAGUGGCAGCGGCCACAAUGGACCCGGAGCCAGUGGGCCGUGUGGAAGAAGUCUCAGCCUGGGGAGCUGGGGCCGCUGCGCCAUUCAGGGAACCGCCCCGGCAGAUGAGUAACGAGACAGGCUUUGACAAUGUAGAACUCGGAAUCAUAGGAAAAAAGAAGAAAGUCCCAAGGAGACUCAUCCACUUUGUUAGUGGUGAAACAAUGGAAGAAUACAGCACAGAUGAAGAUGAAGUCGAUGGCCUGGAGAAGAAGAUGUUUUGCCAACUGUUGAUCCUACAAAACUUACCUGGGGUCCCUAUUUAUGGUUUUACAUGCCUCGGGCUGCCACAUCAACCCUCUCAGUGUGUGACUUUCUUGGAGAGAAGAUUGCAUCUGUUUUGGGCAUCAGCACCCCAAAAUACCAAUAUGCCAUUGAUGAAUAUUACCGGAUGAAGAAGGAGGAAGAAGAGGAAGAGGAAGAAAACAGGAUGUCUGAAGAAGCAGAAAGAGGAUAUCAGCAGAAUAAACUACAGACUGAUUCCAUUGUUCAGACAGAUCAACCAGAAACAAUGGUAUCCAGUUCAUUUGUGAAUCUCAAUUUUGAAAUGGAGGGAGACACUGAAGUAAUUAUGGAAAGCAAACCAAAUCCAGUCUCUGUCCCACCGUAGAAUGAAAUGACUAUCAAACUUCAAA